rnacentral:lncRNA from 1 species
UUGGAAUUAAAUUGAUAAGCUUCCUUAAAAAUUAAAAUGAAAACCUUAAAAAAGAAUAUUGAGCUCAGUCGUUCCCUCUCGGCAUCAGUUCUCCUCUUUCAGUUCUCUCUCUACUCGUCCUUUUGAUUUCCUUCGUUCUUUCGAGCACCUCGGCAAAACCAUAGUUUCAGGCUCUUAGAUUACUCUAUAAUGCUGCGGAGGUACGUUCAGACAUAUCGUUGAUAUGUUUUUGUCAUUAUCAUCUAUUUUUUCGAUGCAUUUCAAACGAAUGUUCUGUUCUAAUGCUUUCCUGUACUUUCUUCUGGUGCUGUCAAAAUACAACUCAUUAUCAAUUUAACAUGAUCGAUCGUCACAAAAGGUCGUCCAAUUUAACGAUUUUGAUUUUUUUUUUCUAAAUUUUUUUUAUUCUUGCAGGUCAAUUUUGGAAUUAUCGUCUCGCCGGUCGGUGAGACGGUUACCAAGGCAAAUCACAUCUCCGGUAUGCAUAUAUAGGCUUUAGAAUCACACUGUAACAUCUGUUCUUAUUUCAAUGUGUUUCGUGCAUAUUUUACUGCGAUUAUCAUAUCUAUAAGCUUGAUUCUGGCGAUUAUGAUUUCUAUAAGCUUGAUUCUCGUUCUCUACGAGACCGUGGUGCGUAUUCUUGCGUUUAUAAAUUACUUUAUAAAAUUCACGCUUGUAUUUCACUUCUUCUGGUUUACUUUCUCACCAUUGAAAAGGGGAUGUUCCAUUGUAGUAGAAUUUUAGCAAGUGUUUACUUAGCUUCAUGAAUGCAUAACUUAAUAAACUUGAAGGAAGGAUACAUUUUAUGGAGGAGAAUUAUUGACGUGAAAUUGGGUACCAUGGAUAGAGGGAGAUAUCCCAGGGUAUCUAUUACACUGUAUGGGACAGGGUUGUGGAAGAUGAUUUGCACUGGGAGAGAGAAAUUUCAGGAGUGUAUUAAAUGGAGAUUGGGUGAUAGAAAGAGAGUAUGCUUUUGGUCCAACAUUUGGAUUGAUGAUGAAACAUUGAAAGUGAGGUUCCCGCUGAUUUUUGCUAUAGCAUGUGAGAAAGACAGAUCUGUUAGGGCGGCGUUCAAUGAGGGGGAGAGAAUGAGGGAAUGGCAUGUGGAUGUGAUGCGUAAUUCUAAUGAUUGGGAGAUUAAAGAAUAUGAAUCAUUGCUAAAUGUUUUAUCUUCAAUUUCACUCAAUGCGGAUCAAGAUCAACCUUUAUGGACCCUAAGCCCUACGGGUCAAUUCACUGUGGGGUCAUUCUACAAACAAAAUACCAAGAGAGAGGGUGAUGAAGAAAAUUUUCCUUCUAGAUAGAUUUGGAGGCUAAAUGCAUCACGAAGAAUUGUUUUUUUUUUACUUGAGAAGCUGCUCGUGGAAACAUUUUGACUAUAGACAAGUUUAUAAGACAUGGGAAGACUAUGGUGAACUGGUUUUGUUUAUGCAAGAAUGCGGCAGAGACGUGAUCAUAUUCGUCUUCGGUGACCGAUUGUAUAUAACUUGUGGUCUCUGGUCUUUGUGAUCCUGAGGUAUAACUGGGUGUUGGUCGAUGCUGUAAAGGAUGAAAUUUGGACGUGGAAGGGUAUUUAGGUAGGAAGAAGUUUUUAGGGCUCAUUCCUUUAGUUAUUUUUUGAGUUGUAUGGAAAGAGAGAAAUAGAAAAGUUUUUGAGGAAGUGAAAGAGGGUAUAGCCAGAAUUAGAGAGAGAUGGUUUCAAUCCCUUGGUGUGUUGAUAAUUAAAAAAUAUUUGUUUUCCAUUGAGAAUUUUGGUGAUCUAAUUGAUAUGCUAACUGAACUGUAAAUUCUUUUAUAAAUGAGUUUUGUAUCCUCUUGGUGCUUGUGAGUAAUAUAUAUAUCACACUUUUUAUUUAAAAGAAAAAUUCUCUAGAGAGCCAUUCAAUAUGUGCUUCAAUGUAAGCAUACACUUGAUUCUACAAGCUUUUUUCUAGAUUUGGUUCUUCUAUAGUGCCUGCAUCUCUUUUCUUAUAAUAUUUUUUCAUUUCUCAUUAAAAAAUAUCUUAGAUAAAAUGUUAGAAAUUUUAAUGGUGUUUAGAUCGACUAGAAAAUUUCUACAUGAAUGUGAGAAUUUUUUAAAUAACACAAACUUCACUAAGAGAUAUGAUGAGUAUUUAGUGCAUGCUCUUGUUAAUGCAUUCUCUUGUAUAUUUCCUAAUGGAAAUGGGAAGAUCAUGAUCAUCUGCUAGUCGAGGAGAAAGUUUUGAUACUGCAUUUACAUCAUACUAAGGACUGAGUAUUGAUCUUGAACGUGCACAAAAUUAGAAUUCUAGUUUCUUUUUCUUGAAUAUACUUGCAUAGAUUUAAUUGAACCACAAAGAUUCCUUAUUCUCUAUCGUUGGGUCUGGUGUGAAUAGUUAAGGAUGUUGACACAAAUUGAGGUGACUCGGCAGGUGGUACGGAUUGGAUUAUACAUAAACGACUAUGUUGGUCGAAAAGUCA